GACGAACGCUGGCGGCGUGCUUAACACAUGCAAGUCGAACGGAAAGGCCCUGCUUUUGUGUGGUGCUCGAGUGGCGAAAGGGUGAGUAACACGUGAGUAACCUGCCCUUGACUUUGGGAUAACCUCAGGAAACUGGGGCGAAUACCGGAUAUGAGCUCCUGCUGCAUGGUGGGGGUUGGAAAGGUUCGGCGGUUGGGGAUGGACUCGCGGCUUAUCAGCUUGUUGGUUGGGUAGUGGCUUACCAAGGCUUUGACGGGUAGCCGGGCUGAGAGGGUGGCCGGCACGAUUGGGGUGGAGCUACGGCACAGACUCCUCCGGGAGGGAGCAGUGGGGAAUAUUGUAUUAUGGGCUGAAGCCUGAUGCAGUACCGCCGCGUGGCGUAUGACGGCCAUCGGGUUGUAAACCGCUUUCGCCUGUGACGAAGCGUGAGUGACGGUAAUUGGUAAAGAAGCACCGGCUAACUACGUG
rnacentral:rRNA from 1 species